rnacentral:rRNA from 1 species
CCUACGGGGGGCAGCAGUGGGGAAUAUUGGACAAUGGGCGAAAGCCUGAUCCAGCCAUGCCGCGUGUGUGAAGAAGGCCUUCGGGUUGUAAAGCACUUUCAGUGGGGAAGAAAGCCUUGGGGCUAAUACCCUCGAGGAAGGACAUCACCCACAGAAGAAGCACCGGCUAACUCCGUGCCAGCAGCCGCGGUAAUACGGAGGGUGCGAGCGUUAAUCGGAAUUACUGGGCGUAAAGCGCGCGUAGGCGGUCUGAUAAGCCGGUUGUGAAAGCCCCGGGCUCAACCUGGGAACGGCAUCCGGAACUGUCAGGCUAGAGGGCAGGAGAGGAAGGUAGAAUUCCCGGUGUAGCGGUGAAAUGCGUAGAGAUCGGGAGGAAUACCAGUGGCGAAGGCGGCCUUCUGGACUGACACUGACGCUGAGGUGCGAAAGCGUGGGUAGCAAACAGGAUUAGAUACCCCUGUAGUC